UUCGAGCAGCAGCAGGUUCACGGAUAAAUAACACACGGAGCUUCCGUUAGCUCGUUAUACCGAGAUUAUUAGCUUACAAAUAUUUAUUUAUAUUGUACUCUGCAAUUAUUAAUAAUAAUUUCUUUAUUCUGUACUAUGGGAACAGAAAGUUUCUGGCUGCUGCUUAUCGGAUUUUCUCUUAUUGCGAGCGACCCAAUCUCCAACUCUACUGAAGUGUUUGCUAGUAAUUCCUCUGAGCUGACGGUGGACUACAGGGACAUCAGGUCCAAGUUCUCCAUCAGAAACCCAGAGUUCCCUGACGAGGAUCUUUGCUAUCUCGUCCCAGGACAACGGGACUCUAUUUCUGACUGCAACUUUAAAAAUGAUUCCCAAACCUUCCUCAUUAUCCACGGAUGGUCGGUGGCGGGUUUGUUUGAGAGCUGGGUCUUUAAGCUGGUGUCGGCUCUGUUUGAACGUGAACCCAGAGCCAAUGUUAUUGUUGUGGACUGGCUGGAUCGGGCCAACAAGCACUACCCCAAAUCAGCAGAAAACACCGGGCUGGUGGGGGCAGACGUGGCCAGGUUUGUCAACUGGCUGGAGGAGAUGGACUAUCCUCUGGAGAAAGUGCAUCUGUUAGGCUACAGUCUCGGCGCACAUGUGGCCGGCGUCGCAGGAAACCUCACCAACAACAAAGUCAACAGAAUCACAGGUCUGGACCCCGCGGGCCCCAGCUUUGAGAACGCUGAGAGUCUGAGGCGUCUGUCACCUGAUGAUGCCUCUUUUGUAGACGUCCUGCACACAAACACCAGAGGCUCGCCGGACCUCAGCAUCGGCAUCCAGAGACCCGUGGGUCACGUGGACAUUUACCCCAACGGAGGCACCUUCCAGCCGGGCUGCAGCAUCCAGAACACCAUGAAGCUCAUCGCCACCUACGGCAUUUACAACAUGGAUCAGAUCGUCAAAUGCUCUCACGAGCGCUCCAUUCACCUGUUCAUCGACUCGCUGGUGAACCGGGCGUACCAGAGCUGGGCGUAUCGCUGCAGCUCCAGAGACGCCUUCAACAAGGGCCUGUGUCUGAGCUGCCGCAAGAACCGCUGCAACAAACUGGGCUACGCCGUCAACAAGAUCCGCAGCGCCAGGAGCGCAAAGAUGUUCCUCAAGACCCGCGACAUGAUGCCGUUUAAGGUGUUUCAUUAUCAGAUCAAACUGCAUCUGUUCAGCGACAAAAACAUGACUUUGCUGGAGCAGCCGAUGAAAGUGUCUCUGUUCGGGACGACCGAUGAGAAGGACGACAUCGCUGUCACUGUGCCCAGCGUGAGCACCAACAGCACCGUCUCGUUCCUGCUGACGUCUGACAGAGACAUCGGCGAGCUGCUGAUGCUGAGCUUACACUGGGAGAAAGAUUCGUAUCUCUACGGCUUCUUCAGCACCAAUCAGUUCACCAUCCGCAAAAUCAGGGUCAAAUCUGGAGAAACACAGUCCAAGCUAAUAUUCAGACCCAGAGAAGGAGCGUUUGGUUCACUGGUUCAAGGUGGAGACGCUGUUGUGUUUGUGAAGUCGAGCGAGACGCCGCAGAGCAGGAGACAGCAGAGGCAGCACAGACUGAAACAUCUCGGGAGCUUCUUCAAACAGAGCAUCAACGAAGCAACCGCAGACAUGAGUAAAGAACCGGAGUUACUUCAUGAUGAAGCGACAGAGAUCAUGACAGAAGCCACCGCGCAGAUCAACGCUACAAACACUUUGUGAUUUUAUUAAUGCCAUCUGCACCAGAUGUACUGCAUCUGAACAGAUUUCAUUCGAUGUGACUUGCAGAAGCGAGCUGCAUCAGUCUGGAAAGCAGUGAAGAGGUUAAAAAGCAGACAAAGAGAUGCUCUGAACUAUGUUUGUUGCUCAGAUGGAUGAUGGAUGUCUCUGUCUCUGUCUGUUAGUGAUUGGUCAAAUGAAGGGGUGUGAAUGUCUGACCUGUACACGCUUAAAGAUACAGCUUAUUGGCAUCUGGAGAAGAUUGUGAUUCUGAGGACCAUUGCUGGGUUUUGCUCAGCAGAGAUUUCACCAGUUGUGACUUUCGUUGGCAGUUCACUUUAGUUUUCACAACGGUCAGUCAAGCGAUUUCACAUUUUGAUGUGUCUGCUCCUCGUAACCCUUUCACACAGUAAACGUCUCAUCUGCAUGUCAAGGUUAAACUGUGUCUGCGAAGUCCUGUCUCAGUCAGAAAUAAAGAUCUGACGUCUCACUAUGAACAACAGCAUGCAGAACAUACAGACAACAACAGCCUCACACUCCACACUUGUUAAUUGAAAUAAAGC